GUGAGGAAUAUUGGUCAAUGGGCGGGAGCCUGAACCAGCCAAGUCGCGUGAAGGAAGAAGGAUCUAUGGUUCGUAAACUUCUUUUGCAGGGGAAUAAAGUGCAGGACGUGUCCUGUUUUGUAUGUACCCUGAGAAUAAGGAUCGGCUAACUCCGUGCCAGCAGCCGCGGUAAUACGGAGGAUCCGAGCGUUAUCCGGAUUUAUUGGGUUUAAAGGGGGCGGAGGUGGUUUGAUAAGUCAGCGGGGAAAGUUUGCAGCUUAACUGUUAAAAUGCCGUUGAAACUGUCGGACUUGAGUGUAAAUGAGGUAGGCGGAAUGCGUGGUGUAGCGGUGAAAUGCAUAGAUAUCACGCAGAACUCCGAUUGCGAAGGCAGCUUACUAAGCUACAACUGACACUGAAGCACGAAAGCGUGGGGAUCAAACAGGAUUAGAUACCCCGGUAGUCC
rnacentral:rRNA from 1 species